rnacentral:lncRNA from 1 species
GAGCAAACAGCUGUAGCAUAUUUAGACGGAUUAAAGUCCUGCGCUUAUGGUGUUCAACAAACUCCCGUUCCGCAAGGGCUCCUCGAAAAAGGCCAUUAUAAUAAAUUUAGACAUUUAGAAAGCAUGAAAGCGCCUCCAAAAUACCCAAACACUGCGACCUCUUGCUGCUGGUGCUGUGGGUUUUCUCAUUGCAGGGCAUGGCUAGAGGGGAUGAACUAAUCCAUGAAAUACUCCACAAUCUUGAAUCUCUCAGAGGAAACUUCAGCUUUAACGUUGGCAGUGACUCAAACUUUCUGAUGGGUGAUAGUGAUCAGUUUUGCAAAUGUAAAGAAUUAAUGGCCCAAAAUCUUCAGAAAACUCUUCUGCUGAUAAAGACAACUGACCAUCACAUGGCUCAACACAUCCGAAAGCUAAAAUACAAUAUUAGGGAACUACUUAAAGGAAGAAACGUUGAAGAACACUGUUCCAGAGAUAAAGUGGCGAUGGUCAGUUCGAGCAGGAAAAAGGAGACAGCUGAUCACUUUGUACAGCAGUGGACCACAUUUUUUCGAGCUUGGUUGAGAAUUGUGUGUGAGAAGUUAUGACUAUUGAUUCUUCUUCAUAGGUCACUCCAGCUCACUCUAGUAAUGUCAUCAUGUAGUGUAUUUGUUUAAUAAAUUAAAGCUGCGUAAUGAUGGAUC